AAAUUGAAGAGUUUGAUCAUGGCUCAGAUUGAACGCUGGCGGCAGGCCUAACACAUGCAAGUCGAACGGUAACAGGAAGCAGCUUGCUGCUUCGCUGACGAGUGGCGGACGGGUGAGUAAUGUCUGGGA
rnacentral:rRNA from 2 species